rnacentral:rRNA from 1 species
GGUGGAUGAGUGGCGAACGGGUGAGUAACACGUGAGUAACCUGCCCCUGAUUUCGGGAUAAGCCUGGGAAACUGGGUCUAAUACCGGAUAUGACCUCCCCUUGCAUGAGGGUUGGUGGAAAGUUUUUCGAUCGGGGAUGGGCUCGCGGCCUAUCAGCUUGUUGGUGGGGUAAUGGCCUACCAAGGCGACGACGGGUAGCCGGCCUGAGAGGGCGACCGGCCACACUGGGACUGAGACACGGCCCAGACUCCUACGGGAGGCAGCAGUGGGGAAUAUUGCACAAUGGGGGAAACCCUGAUGCAGCGACGCAGCGUGCGGGAUGACGGCCUUCGGGUUGUAAACCGCUUUCAGCAGGGAAGAAGCGAAAGUGACGGUACCUGCAGAAGAAGUACCGGCUAACUACGUGCCAGCAGCCGCGGUAAUACGUAGGGUACGAGCGUUGUCCGGAAUUAUUGGGCGUAAAGAGCUCGUAGGUGGUUGGUCACGUCUGCUGUGGAAACGCAACGCUUAACGUUGCGCGUGCAGUGGGUACGGGCUGACUAGAGUGCAGUAGGGGAGUCUGGAAUUCCUGGUGUAGCGGUGAAAUGCGCAGAUAUCAGGAGGAACACCGGUGGCGAAGG